UCCAAGCCUUUAAGUUAUUCUUCAUUUUCUUAAUACACCAAAGCCAACAACACACAACCCAAAAUGAUUAACCCUAGCCGCUUGAAGAAACCAGCGAGAACAUAGCUGACAAAAGCCAUUUCUGGAUAAGAUUCCAAGUGCUUUCAGUGACCAAGCCUUUGCUUCCCCGAUUUGGGCAAGGAAAUUUAUUGUUUUGUCAUCUUCUUCAGCCCGAAUGGUAACCUGCAAUUUCCCUUUACUUUUCUUCAAAUCAUUCAAUUUUUUUCGUUUUUUCUUUUCCAUUAAGAUUCAGAUUUCAAACAAUCCUUGAAAAAAUUUCAAUUUGAAGUCCGUGUUGCAUUUGUCCCACAUCGUUUGAAAAGCUCAAACGCUAGCAUUUGGGGUUCUUUAAAAGAACCCCAUUGUCUCCAUUCAGAGGAGAGGAUGACACACCAUCACUCAGCUAAAAGACAUUCUGAGUCUAAGCUUUGAGUUUUGUUUGGUGUUCUGUAGUUCAAACUUUGAUGUUUGUUUUUUUCCGUCAUCGAGUCUGAGUGUCUAUUGGCAAGAAGCUAAAAUGAAGUUCGUCUGUGAAGUUCGAAGGUGAUUCGCUUCUUUCGUCACCCCCGUCGCUACUCAGCAAAAAGGCAUGAAAAUCCCGAGACGAGUCCAACUGGACUUAUGCAUUUUCCUCCGCAUUACCUCGUUGGGUCGGAAACCCAAUAUUACAUUAGAUUGAGUCAGACCACACACAUUAAAGGCCCAAUCAUGAGUAAAAAUGACAACUAGUGAGCUUCGGUAGACGCACUAGCCUAAACCUUUCUUCCUUAUUUUUACAAGUCGUAUUUAUGUAUGUAUUGUAAAAUGCUAUGUAAAUAUUGGAAGCUAUAUGAUUGGAACUUAGUUGAA